AUCCUUCGGUUCAUGAGCGUGAUGAUUGAGUGUUCAUACCUUGUACAUGAGAUGUGCCUCCCUCAAACCUUGUUACAACAUGGGCACAUUACCCAUCUGACA